rnacentral:lncRNA from 1 species
AAGUUCUGGAUCUACCUCAAUAUUUUGCUGCUUGUUCUUUUGUUUCAAAUUCCACAAAGGCAGAUCCCUUUGGAUUUCCAGUAGACUUAUAAUGUGGUAGACUUCUAUAAAAAGACAUGGCCACAUUUUCCAGAUACUCUUUCAAUCCAGCUGUGAUUUUGGGAAGUAACUCCUAUAUGUUUAACUUCUAAGUAAGAAUUGCUUACAUAUUUACUUGGAAUGUUAAAAAA